AGAGUUUGAUCAUGGCUCAGAUUGAACGCUGGCGGCAGGCCUAACACAUGCAAGUCGAGCGGAAACGAGUUAUCUGAACCUUCGGGGAACGAUAACGGCGUCGAGCGGCGGACGGGUGAGUAAUGCCUAGGAAAUUGCCCUGAUGUGGGGGAUAACCAUUGGAAACGAUGGCUAAUACCGCAUGAUGCCUACGGGCCAAAGAGGGGGACCUUCGGGCCUCUCGCGUCAGGAUAUGCCUAGGUGGGAUUAGCUAGUUGGUGAGGUAAGGGCUCACCAAGGCGACGAUCCCUAGCUGGUCUGAGAGGAUGAUCAGCCACACUGGAACUGAGACACGGUCCAGACUCCUACGGGAGGCAGCAGUGGGGAAUAUUGCACAAUGGGC
rnacentral:rRNA from 1 species